GCAUCUGUGGCCUAAUGGUUACAGCUUGAUCCUUUUGGCGCUCAGAGGCAAACAGGUCGCGGGUUCGAAUCCCGCUGCUGCU